AAAUGCGAUAAUUAAUGUGAAUUGCAGAAUUCAGUGAAUCAUCGAGUCUUUGAACGCACAUUGCGCCCCCCGGUAUUCCGGGGGGCAUGCCUGUCCGAGCGUCAUUGCUGCCCUCAAGCACGGCUUGUGUGUUGGGCUUCCGUCCCUGGCAACGGGGACGGGCCCAAAAGGCAGUGGCGGCACCAUGUCUGGUCCUCGAGCGUAUGGGGCUUUGUCACCCGCUCCCGUAGGUCCAGCUGGCAGCUAGCCUCGCAACCAAUCUUUUUAACCAGGUUGACCUCGGAUCAGGUAGGGAUACCCGCUGAACUUAAGC
rnacentral:misc_RNA from 1 species